rfam:Rattus norvegicus chromosome 16, whole genome shotgun sequence.
GGGGAUUUAGCUCAGUGGUAGAGCGCUUGCCUAGGAAGCGCAAGCAAGGCCCUGGGUUCGGUCCCCAGCUCCG